ACAAUUUAGAGUUUGAUCCUAGCUCAGGAUGAACGCUGGCGGCGUGCCUUAGGCAUGCAAGUCAAACGGCCCUUCCCCAGAUUCGCAAGAAUCUGAGGAUGGACAGUGGCAGACGAGUUAGUAACACGUAGGAACCUACUCUCAAGUCAGGAAUAACUCACCGAAAGGUGAAUUAAUACUCGAUAGUAUCUUUAUCCCGCUUAUGUGGUGUAGAGAUUAAACCCCUCCCCACUUUUGGAUUUUAGAAAUUUCUAGAGCUCAAAAGUGGGGAGGGGGCUUGAGAAAGGGCCUGCGGGCUAUCAGCUAGUUGGUGGGGUAAUGGCCUACCAAGGCAGUGACGGCUAGGGGAAGUGAGAGCUUGAUCCCCAACGAUGGGACUGAGACACGGCCCAUACACCUACGGGUGGCUGCAGUCGAGAAUCUUCCGCAAUGGACGAAAGUCUGACGGAGCGACGCCGCGUGAUGGAUGAAGUCCUUAGGGACGUAAACAUCUUUUAUGGAGGAGAAAUUCCUCCCCACUUUUGGAUUUUAGAAAUUUCUAGAGCUCAAAAGUGGGGAGAAAUGAUAGUACUUCAUGAAUAAGGGGUUGCUAAACUCGUGCCAGCAGCAGCGGUAAUACGAGUACCCCAAGCGUUAUCCGGAAUUAUUGGGCGUAAAGGGUGUGUAGGCGGUCUGAUUAGUCUUCUGUUAAAUCCUCGGGCUUAACCCGAGACGAGCAGAGGAAACGGUCAGACUGGAGGGUGCGAGAGGUGAAUGGAACUCAUGGAGUAGGGGUGAAAUCCGUUGAUAUCAUGGGGAACACCAAAAGCGAAGGCAAUUCACUGGCGUACUUCUGACGCUGAAACACGAAAGCGUGGGUAGCGAACGGGAUUAGAUACCCCGGUAGUCCACGCCCUAAACGAUGAUCACUAGCUUUGGGGAGUAUCGACCCUCUCCGAGGCGAAGCUAACGCGUUAAGUGAUCCGCCUGGGUAGUACGGCCGCAAGGCUAAAACUCAAAGGAAUAGACGGGGACUUGCACAAGCAGUGGAUUAUGCGGUUUAAUUCGAUGACAAACGAAGAACCUUACCAAGGUUAGAAAUCCCGAUGACGGUUUCUGGAAACAGAUUCCUUCCGCAAGGACAUCGGGACAGGUGAUGCAUGGCCGUCGUCAGUUCGUGAUUUGAAUUGUUCCCUUAAGUGGGGUAACGAACGCAACCCUCGUUGCCAGUUAUAAAUGUCUGGCGAGACUGCCCCCUCUCCAGUUUUGUUUUUUGCCAAGAAUUUUCGAGUCUAAAAAAUUUGAAGAAAUUUUUUAAAUCUGAAAAUUCUAAGACAAUAAAAGAAAACUGGAGAGGGGGAGGAAGGCGAGGAUGACGCCAGGUCAGCAUGUCCCUUGAUACCUUGGGCUACACGCAUAAUACAAUCGCCGCUACAACGGGUCGCGACGGAGUAAUCCCGAGCUAAUCCUAAGAAAAGCGGCGUCAGUUCGGAUUGGGGGCUGCAACUCGACCCCAUGAAGUUGGAAUUGCUAGUAAUCGCGGGUCAGCUAUACCGCGGUGAAUACGUUCUCAAGUCUUGUACUCAAAAUUAAAUGCGCU
rfam:Entomoplasmatales bacterium EntAcro10 contig_5, whole genome shotgun sequence.